AUUUAUAUGAAAACAAAGAUGUAAGUUAUUGCUGACUUUAUAUUAGAAACUAUGGGCAAGAGAGUGCAACAAGAUCUUUAAAGUACUGAAAGAAAAAUAUACCAACAUAGAAUUCUAUGUACAGUAAAAAUGUGCGAAAUAAGGUGAAGUACUGACAUUUAAAAAAAAAACAAAGGUAAGAGAAUUAAUCACAAAUAAUGCUACAUUAAAAUGUAUGAUGUGGCACAUUAUCAACAUGACAAUUAACGUGAUUCAUCAAAAUGUUUUACAUUUUGAGCCCCACUCUGAAUUACUCAAACAGUUGAAUGUUUGUUAUGGACUGAAUGUUUGUGUCCCCCCACCUCCAAAUUCUUAUGUUGAAUUCCUAUCCCCUAGAGUGGCUGCAUUUGGAGAUGGACCUCUAAGGAAGUAAUUAAGAUUACUGAGGUCACAAGGGUUGGGUCCUGAUCCAAUAGGAUUUGUGUCUUUAUAAGAACAGACACAAAAGUGUUCUC
rnacentral:lncRNA from 10 species